rnacentral:rRNA from 1 species
UUAGUGGCGGACGGGUGAGUAACGCGUGGGCAACCUGCCUUACACAGGGGGAUAACACUUAGAAAUAGGUGCUAAAACCGCAUAAGCGCACAGCUUCGCAUGAAGCGGUGUGAAAAACUCCGGUGGUGUAAGAUGGACCCGCGUCUGAUUAGCUUGUUGGCGGGGUAACGGCCCACCAAGGCGACGAUCAGUGGCCGGCCUGAGAGGGCGGACGGCCACAUUGGGACUGAGACACGGCCCAGACUCCUACGGAAGGCAGCAG